rnacentral:rRNA from 1 species
UACGUAGGUGGCAAGCGUUGUCCGGAUUUACUGGGCGUAAAGGGCGUGCAGGCGGUCUGUUAAGUCUAGGGUGAAAGCUCCCGGCUCAACUGGGAGAGGUCCUUGGAUACUGGCGGACUUGAGGGAGGCAGAGGAAAGUGGAAUUCCCGGUGUAGUGGUGAUAUGCGUAGAUAUCGGGAGGAACACCAGUGGCGAAGGUCGGCCUU